UACAGAGGGUGCGAGCGUUGUCCGGAAUCACUGGGCGUAAAGGGCGCGUAGGUGGCGGCCCAAGUCCAUGGUGAAAGCUCGAUGCUCAACAUCGAGUCGGCCACGGAUACUGGGUUGCUCGAGCACUGUAGGGGCAGAUGGAAUUCCGGGUGUAGCGGUGGAAUGCGUAGAGAUCGGGAGGAACACCAGAGGCGAAGGCGGGCGACCUGGACAAGUACUGACACUCAACUGCGAAAGCGUGGGGAGCAAACAGG
rnacentral:rRNA from 1 species